AUGGUCAUAUACACCGACGAGGAGGCGUAUUGGCGCCUUUGAGGUACCCAAAAGUGGGUUCUCUAGGGUGACGCCAACACCGCCUACUUCCAGGCAAUCGCCAAUGGCCUGCGGCGACGUAAUACCAUUCCCCUUCUGUGGGAUGGCGCAACGCUCCUCCAACGGCCCGCUGACAUCCGUGCCCAUGUUGACGGCUUCUAUCGAGCCCUGUUUGCAGCCCCCCCUAGGGGGGGCUUAGCUCUUGUGCCACACUUCUGGGUUGGACCGCAGUGUGUCUCGGCCGCGGACAAUGCGGCUCUCACGACCCCGUUCUCUGAGGAGGAAGUGUGGCUCGCAAUUAAAGGGAUGAACCCAUCAUCCGCCCCGGGUCCUGACGGCUUGCCAGUUAAGUUCUUUCAGACCUUCUGGCCCGCCAUCAAACAGGAGAUCAUGGCCUUCUUCGAGGAGUUUUAUGUCGGUUCCAUCGACCUCAAGCGCCUCAACUAUGGCAUUAUCACUUUGAUCCCCAAGGUCCCGGGCGCCUCCGACAUCCGCCAGUUCCGCCCUAUCACGGUGAUCAAUGUGAUCUUCCGCAUCCUUGCCAAGGGGUACGCCAAUAGGGUGGCCCCCUUAGCUGACCGCAUAACCCACCCGAAUCAAUCCGCCUUCAUUCAGGGCCGAUAUAUUUUGGAUGGGGUCCUAGUCUUCCAUGAAAUCCUGCAUGAGGUGUGA
rnacentral:rRNA from 1 species